AUGGCGACUAUGAUGGCCAUGAACUCCUUCGUCGGUGUCGCCGUCCUGCCUCGGGGCUCAGCUGGCGGCUUCGGCGCCGAUUCUCUGCCGGCGCUGGGCCGACGCGGCCUUGUCGUAAGGGCACAAACCGAGGGCCCGAGUGCACCACCGCCAAACAAACCCAAGGCGAGCAUCUCCAUCUGGGACGCGAUGGCGUUCAGCGGCCCUGCGCCAGAGCGCAUCAACGGGCGUCUGGCCAUGGUGGGUUUCGUGACUGCGCUCGCCGUGGAAGCAGGCCGUGGCGACGGGCUCCUCUUGCAGCUCGGCAGCGGCACCGGGCAGGCGUGGUUCGCCUACUCCGUGGCGGUGCUGUCCGUGGCGUCGCUGGUGCCGCUGCUCCAGGGCGAGAGCGCCGAGGGCAGAGCCGGCGCCAUCAUGAACGCCAACGCGGAGCUCUGGAAUGGUCGCUUCGCCAUGCUCGGCCUCGUCGCUCUGGCGGCCACAGAGAUCAUCACUGGCGCGCCCUUCAUCAACGUGUAG
rnacentral:rRNA from 1 species